GGAGAGGUGUCCGAGUGGUUUAAGGUGCACGCCUGGAACGCGUGUAUGGAUUAAUUAUCCAUCGCGGGUUCGAAUCCCGCCCUCUCCG
rnacentral:tRNA from 1 species